rnacentral:rRNA from 1 species
GGAGGGAUCAUUACCGAGUUUACAACUCCCAAACCCCUGUGAACAUACCUAUACGUUGCCUCGGCGGAUCAGCCCGCGCCCCGUAAAACGGGACGGCCCGCCCGAGGACCCUAAACUCUGUUUUUAGUGGAACUUCUGAGUAAAACAAACAAAUAAAUCAAAACUUUCAACAACGGAUCUCUUGGUUCUGGCAUCGAUGAAGAACGCAGCAAAAUGCGAUAAGUAAUGUGAAUUGCAGAAUUCAGUGAAUCAUCGAAUCUUUGAACGCACAUUGCGCCCGCCAGUAUUCUGGCGGGCAUGCCUGUUCGAGCGUCAUUUCAACCCUCAAGCUCAGCUUGGUGUUGGGACUCGCGGUAACCCGCGUUCCCCAAAUCGAUUGGCGGUCACGUCGAGCUUCCAUAGCGUAGUAAUCAUACACAUCGUUACUGGUAAUCGUCGCGGCCUCGCCGUAAAACCCCAACUUCUGAAUGUUGACCUCGG